UUGUUGUGGGCAAAAUAGAUCAGACAGACAUGUAUUGUAGAGAGAGAUGCAGGCAGGUUCAGUAAUUUGCUGAUAUAUUCUGCAAGAGGUGGUUACGUGAGUAUUUGUUAACAUUGCAAGAAAGACAGAAGUGGCUUAUUACAAGUAGGAACCUACAAGUAGGAGAUGUUUAUUAAUGAUGAAAGAAAACUCUUCUAGAUGCCAUUGGCCUGUUGGUAGAGUAGAUGCAGUCAAGAUGGGUCGUGACGGAUUAGUAAGGAGUGUAACAGUCAGGAGAGGAAAAUCAGUCUUCGACAGACCACCAUCCAAACUGGUUUUACUUUAUGAAGGUGACAAUGAUUGCAUGAAAGAAGGAUGUUACAGUGUAAGAACCAAUAUUUAGGAUAAGCUAAUGUAAUUAUAUGUUUACUUAGAAUUGAGAAUGUAUUAUGAGAAUUUCAUUAUUUUGUAGUUUUUUGUGUUGAAGUCCUGAAGGAUUCAAGGAGGGUGGUGUUAGCGCCACAUAUUGAUGAUAGAUUAGUUUACCCUCAAACCGUUUUCUAGAUGGAGUCGCUAUGUGUACAUUAUUACACCAUGUUUUUCAAUACAACAUAACAAAAGAAUGUCAUUUAUAUGUAAUUGAUAUUGUAUAAUAAGCUGUAUAAUAUUGUAACUAACAUUUCCUGUAAUAUGACCAUAAUAUGAUGUAAGCAUGAGCAGUGGCUAAUGAAUAGAAGCGAUAAAUGAAAUUAGCUAGCGGGCAUCCAUGCCCCACUUGGCAUGUUGAGAGAGAGUUGAGGAGACAGAGGGACGCGUUUGGAGCAGGUCGCACGCCGCUCAGUUCCCCUUAUUUGGAGAUCUGCCCCUCCACCCUUUGAUUGACAGCCUUUCAUAGUGUACCUGAGAUGUAGUAAGGUGUAUGGUGCACCAUAGAGAUCUGAUUAGGAGCCGCUGCAAUGAAUUUUGGAAGGAAUAUGCUUUGAUGAGAUUAGUGACCAACAUAGGGGAUGGAGGACUGCUCUCACUCUCGUGGAAUAACCACAACGCCACCUUCUGCCACAGUCUGUCAACUUUCCGGGAAAAGGUGACUGGUGUUUGUCGCCUUGAGCUGUUACUCAGGAAGUGAAGGUCAGCAGUGCAAUCCUUAGGAUGGUAGAUCUGAAACUGUCUGCAGAUAAUAUGUUCUCCUCCAUAAUAAUUGUUCUCCUCCAGAAUUACAGCUUUAUCGCACUGGCAGAAAUUUAUUUUUUUCUAUUUAUUAUUAUUAUUUUUUUUUUUUUUUUAUGGUAGAUUUUGGUGUGUCUGAUGUUGUGUGGUAAUCUUUCUGUCAGAAGUAACUCAUGAAGAUAUUAAAUUUUCAAAUUUGUAUUGAUAUGCUGUGCUGUAAGUAGUACUCAGAGAUCCCAGCUGGGAAGGCAUGUCAGAGGCCUCACGUACAGGAUUAGAGGCCCGGCAAUGUUAUAAUCUCGACUUUGGAUCAUGUUUUUAAAAUUUAUAUCAUUCAAAUUAGUGUAAUUGAAGAGGUGUGUGUGUGUGUGUGUGUGUGUGUGUGUGUGUGUGUGUGUGUGUGUGUGUGUGUGUCCCAUCUUCCUUGUUCAGAAUCAUAUUAGACCCUGAGUCCUUUCCAUGCAUUUUGGCGUUAUGGUACGUAAUAAAGUAAAAUACACUCAAAAUAUAUAUUUUUGUUAAUGUUGUUUUGUUUCUCCAUUUAGAGUUCUAUUAAUGCAUUUUAGCAUUUUGGUACCUAAGAUCAAAAACACUUACAAUACACGUCUCUUGUAAUGUCAUUUCGUUCCCUCGUUUGCAUGUAUUUAAGUGUUUUUGUACGUAAGUAGUUUGAAAACACUCAAAAAAAAAAGAAGUUUUUGGUAAUGUUUUUUUUGUUUUUUGUUUAUUCCCAUAUAAGGUGCUUUCCUUUCUUUUUACGUUUGGUACCUAUCAUGCACAAAAACACUGAAAAAAUAGAUUUCUUGUAAUUUCAUUUAAUUUCUCCUUAUAAUGGGCUUUGCAUGUUUUGGUAACUUAAAUUACACGAUUUUGGUAAUGUUUUGUUUCUCUAUAUAGAGUGGUAUUAAUGCGUUUAUGUCUUUUGGUACUCAAUAGGCUUAAAAUUAUUAAAAUUAUCUUUUUUGUUCCUCCAUAUACGGUUUUUUUUUUUUUUUUUUUGCGUUUUUCUACGUAAUAAACUCAAGAACACUCAACAUACAUGUUUUGGUAAUGUUAUUCCAUUUCUCCAUAAGCGGUGUUUUCUAGGUGUUUUAUCAUUUUGGUGAAGUAGAAAAAAAAAUAGACGCUAUGGGUAAAGUUGUUUUGUUAUUCUAUGUUGGGUGAUUUCCAUUUUUUCAACCGUUUUGGUGCUUAACAUGCAAAAAAAAAAAAAAGAAAAUUUAAAAGACACGUUUCUGGUAAUGUCGUUUCGUGUCACUAUAUAGGGCGCUUUGUAUGCAUUUUGGCAUUUUGGUACCUAACAAUGUGAACACAUUUUAAAUACACGUUUUUGGUAAAGUUUUUUUUUUUUUCAUAUGGAGUACUACUCAUGUGAUUUAGCGUUUUGGUACGAGUACUUAAGAAGGUCAAAAACAUUCAUAAUACACCUUUCUCGUAAUGUCUUUUCAUUUCCCUGUAUAUGGUGCUUUCCAUGCAUUUUGGCGUUUUUCUACGUAAAAGGCUAAAAAAUACACAAAAUACUUGUGUUUAGUAUUGUUAUUAUUUUUCCAUAAAAAUGUGUUUUGCAUGAGGUUUUGUGUUUUGUUACGUAACUAGUUAAAAAAAAAACGCUGAAAAUAGACAUUUUUUGGC